rnacentral:rRNA from 1 species
GACGAACGCUGGCGGCGUGCUUAACACAUGCAAGUCGAACGGAAAGGCCCUGCUUUUGUGGGGUGCUCGAGUGGCGAACGGGUGAGUAACACGUGAGUAACCUGCCCUUGACUUUGGGAUAACUUCAGGAAACUGGGGCUAAUACCGGAUAGGAGCUCCUGCUGCAUGGGGGGGGUUGGAAAGUUUCGGCGGUUGGGGAUGGACUCGCGGCUUAUCAGCUUGUUGGUGGGGUAGUGGCUUACCAAGGCUUUGACGGGUAGCCGGCCUGAGAGGGUGACCGGCCACAUUGGGAUUGAGAUACGGCCCAGCCUCCUACGGGGGGCAGCAGUGGGGAAUAUUGCACAAUGGGCGGAAGCCUGAUGCAGCAACGCCGCGUGCGGGAUGACGGCCUUCGGGUUGUAAACCGCUUUCGCCGGUGACGAAGCGUGAGUGACGGUAAUGGGUAAAGAAGCACCGGCUAACUACGUG